GGUAACUAGUGGAGAGAGUGGGGUGUAGUAGGGAGGGGGGGAGGUGUGUCCGGAUUUUCGGGGCGUAAAGGGUGGGUAGGGUGAAACUUAAGUGGGAUGUGAAAGCCCCGGGCUCAACCCGGGAACUGCAUUCCAAACUGGGUAGCUGGAGUGCAGGAGAGGAAAGCGGAAUUCCUAGUGUAGCGGUGAAAUGCGUAGAUAUUAGGAAGAACACCGGUGGCGAAGGCGGCUUUCUGGACUGUAACUGACACUGAGGCAUGAAAGCGUGGGGAGCAAACAGGAUUAGAUACCCCAGUAGUC
rnacentral:rRNA from 1 species